rnacentral:snRNA from 1 species
GGAUGUGAGGGCAAUCUGACUGCAACAUCUGUCACCCCAUUGAUCGCCAGGGUUGAUUUGGCUGAUCUGGCUAGCUAGGCAGGUGUCCCCUUCCUCCCUCACUGCUCUAUGUGUGUCCCUCCAGAAGCUGCACACUCCGUUGAAAAGGAUGACCACCCCUAUACAGUAGGACCAUUCUUUCAUCAAGAGUACAUGAGUAGCUGUGCUCUCCUGCUAGAACCUCCAAACAAGCUCUCAAGGUCCAAAUGCUUGCUCCUGCUCUCAUUCAUUUUCCGCAAGGUAGGCAGGGUUAUCUUCAAAAGAGCAAUAUGAUUGUGGCUGAGCAUCUUGCUUAAAAGCUUUCAGUU